rnacentral:rRNA from 1 species
CCUACGGGCGGCAGCAGUGAGGAAUAUUGGUCAAUGGUCGGGAGACUGAACCAGCCAAGCCGCGUGAGGGAUGAAGGUACUGAGUAUCGUAAACCUCUUUUGUCAGGGAACAAAGGCGGGGACGCGUACCCGGCUGAGUGUACCUGAAGAAAAAGCAUCGGCUAACUCCGUGCCAGCAGCCGCGGUAAUACGGAGGGGGCAAGCGUUAUCCGGAUUCACUGGGUGUAAAGGGAGCGUAGACGGGGGGACAAGUCGGGAGUGAAAGGCCGGGGCCCAACCCCGGGAUUGCUGUUGAAACUGGCUGUCUGGAGUACAGGAGAGGUAAGUGGAAUUCCUAGUGUAGCGGUGAAAUGCGUAGAUAUUAGGAGGAACACCAGUGGCGAAGGCGGCUUACUGGACUGUAACUGACGUUGAGGCUCGAAAGCGUGGGGAGCAAACAGGAUUAGAUACCCUGGUAGUC